AACGCUAAAAAUUGUGCCCAUACAAAAAAAAUUGAAUCUUGAUUGUUAGAGGAUUGGUUAUUGUAGCAAAAUUUACCCAUUUGAUAGAAGCAUAAUUGUUUUUUUUUUUCUUUUCAUACUGGAACGGUUUAGAUAUUUUGAAAGGAGUUCCUUCAUGCCAUUUAUACAGGCAUUUGGCAUUGGCUUUGCACCAAUCCAUGGUUUCUGGUUCGUUUGCAAUAGACAAGGCAAUUCAGCAUUAAUGCGCGAUGAUAUUUCUAUGGAACAGAAGGAAGAGUGGAAUAAUUUGGUUUCAAAUAAGGGACUUGAAUUGAUUAAAAUGGCUUGAAGACAAUUGAAGGAAGGUGUGCAGUUGGUGAAUACAAUAAUAUUGAACCAGGUUCUAUGAUCCUUUUUAAUAAAUGUCUGGUGCUUGAAGUUAAGG